UUAAAAUAUUGUUAAAAUAUAAAUAGGCAAUUACACCUUAACUGAAGCCCUCCCCAUAUGUGUAUAUAUAAGGCUUGGCUAAGACUUAGAAUGGUAGGUUUUUGUUCUAUCAACAAGUCAACCUUCAGGCUUCUAUAUAUUGUUGUUCAAAGUAUAUUUAAUAACCCCUUCCAUCUCUCCACUCAACUCAACUCUAUAUUUUGACUCAGCAAUAUCAAGCAUCAAAGCACAUCAACUCUAUAAAUCAAGCAUGUGCAAUCAAGUCCGGGUACAGAAGGCAUGUCUUAGCAUCGAUUCUUGCAAUUUUUUCUUCCUUGUGUGUCACUGUUGAC